rnacentral:tRNA from 1 species
GGGGAUUUAGCUCAGUGGCAUAAGCACCUGCCUUGCAAGCAGGUGGAUGUUUGAUCCCUG